rnacentral:rRNA from 1 species
GUAGAUAGGCCGGGAGUGGAAGAGCCGUGAGGCUUGGAGCGGACCGGUACUAAUCAGUCGAGGACUUGACCAAAA